GAGGCAGCGGUCAUGGGGUUGAAAGCCACUCGUAAUCCCUCGGUCGCGGGUUCGGGUCCCGCCCGCCCCACCA
rnacentral:tRNA from 1 species